rnacentral:tRNA from 1 species
AGCUGUGUGGUGCAGUAGUCAAGUGUUUGGCUGCUAACCAAAAGGCCAGUGGUUCAAAUCCACCAGCAGCUC